UACGUAGGGUGCGAGCGUUGUCCGGAAUUAUUGGGCGUUAAGGGCUCGUAGGCGGUUUGUCGCGUCGGGAGUGAAAACCCAGGGCUUAACCCUGGGCUGGCUUCCGAUACGGGCAGACUAGAGGUAUGCAGGGGAGAACGGAAUUCCUGGUGUAGCGGUGAAAUGCGCAGAUAUCAGGAGGAACACCGGUGGCGAAGGCGGCCUUCUGGACAGUGACUGACGCUGAGACGCGAAAGCGUGGGGAGCAAACAGG
rnacentral:rRNA from 1 species